AAUGAACGCUGGCGGCGUGCUUAACACAUGCAAGUCGAACGGAAAGGCCUCAGCUUGCUGGGGUACUCGAGUGGCGAACGGGUGAGUAACACGCGGGUGAUCUGCCCUGCACUUUGGGAUAAGCUUGGGAAACUGGGUCUAAUACCGAAUAUGACCACUUCUUGGAGGUUGUGGUGGAAAGCUUUUGCGGUGUGGGAUGAGCCUGCGGCCUAUCAGCUUGUUGGUGGGGUAAUGGCCUACCAAGGCGGCGACGGGUAUCCGGCCUGAGAGGGUGUACGGACACAUUGGGACUGAGAUACGGCCCAGACUCCUACGGGAGGCAGCAGUGGGGAAUAUUGCACAAUGGGCGCAAGCCUGAUGCAGCGACGCCGCGUGGGGGAUGAAGGCCUUCGGGUUGUAAACUCCUUUCGCUAUCGACGAAGCCACUUGUGGUGACGGUAGGUAGAUAAGAAGCACCGGCUAACUACGUGCCAGCAGCCGCCGUAA
rnacentral:rRNA from 1 species